CUUCAUAUUUACUUUUACAGCGCACCUCUUUAAGAGAGAACAUUCACAAUGGAAAACAGCGGCAAGGGUUAGAAGACUUUUAAAAGGAGGCUGUUAGUGCAGCAGUAAAAUUUGGCCAGAUGCUCACAAAAUGUCUCGGAUAACAGCUGGACUCAUAAUGUCCUCAUCAUGACCGGAGGGGACAAAGAAGCUGAAUUCCUAGACCAGUCUAUCUAUUCGAACACUUCAUCAAUUGUAUCUGCAAAAAUAUUAAUCAAGACACAAAGUUCAAACCAGUAGAGCUGCUGGCUUAUUCUGGGCCUACAGUCCCAUCCUUGAAAUUUUACUUUCUUUUUGUUGAGCUCCUUGAAUUUGAGGAAGGCCAAAUGUGAGAGAGGAUGAUGAAGAAAGGGUAAAAGUUGCUUGUAGCUGGGCAUGGGAAGCUCCAAUGCCACCACAGAGAAAAGUCUCUACCAGCUCAGGAGCUUGGAAAGGGCCCUGGUGGAGGAGAAUUUGCAUAAGGAAAUCACCAGCUCUAGUACACUUGUAGCAUGUGACAGGAAAAAUUUGUCAUUGGCUAUUUAUGAAUUAAAUCUUAAUAAAAUCCCUAGGUCUUCCCUAACCAAGCACAAAUGUCUUAAGAGGUUACCUAUAAUUUUGAACAUCCUUUCAGGACAUUUUCUGCAUAGUUAAUGUGGGCAGUUGUGUCUAGGCACAGGACAGAUUUACUUCUAUGUCAAUAUUUAAGGCACUGUAUAUGGCACAGAGACCCCAUUAUUCAGUGAAAAUAUGGCCUAUUCAAGGAGAUGAAAGUUUAGUGAGAAUCUUAACUAGGAAGACAACAAAGUUACUCUAUCAAAGAAAUAAUUUAAAUGACUUUGAAGAGAAAAUAAGAUUUUUUUUUAAAUGGAAAGUUUAUUUUCCAACCUACAAGACAGUUAAAUAGUUAGCAUAUCUCUUAA
ensembl:lncRNA novel transcript